GGGUCAGUAGGUUGGUCUUGCCACCGGUACGUACUGGUCUCACUGAUUCCUCCUCCCUGAAGAACCGUAAUGCCAUUAAUUUGGUGUUGCGGGGAAACAGGACUGUUACUUUGAAAAAAUUAGAGUGAUUAAAGCAAGCUAACGCUUGAAUACAUUAGCAUGGAAUAAUGAAAUAGGGCGAUCGAUCCUAUUUUGUUGGUUUCUAGGAUUGACGUA
rnacentral:rRNA from 1 species